UAAGUGUUGUCUAAACACUCCUA
rnacentral:snRNA from 1 species